AACUUUAUUAGACAUGCACGUGUUGCAAUGUUUUACUAGCAGGUGGACAUAGAGUGUCAAAUGCAAUAAAAGUAACAUUUUUUAUAUAUUAAAUAUAUAAUAUACACCAAUGGCGCCACUUUAACAUUAGUAUAUUAAUAUCUUUAAAAAAAGGCAUCACCUUGACAUUAGUAUUUUAGUAUAUUUAUAUAUACACCAAUGACAUCACUUUAAUAAAUCAUUUAUAUACAACAAUUGUUUGACUAAAGAAAUCACACCAAUUGCCACUUUGACAUUAGUUAAUAUAUUUUAUCUAAAAUCAAAUUCGUAUAAUCUCAUUUUUCAUCUUCAAUCUUUUUAAUUUUUAACUAUAUCAUUAUAUAUAUAUAUAUAUAUUAACAAAUAUUUAUAUAUUAUCAUUUUAAAACAUUUAAUAUAUAAUCAUUUCUAAAAUAAUAUUUAAAAGUAAUAUUGAUUAUUAAACCUAAUACUUUUGAAGCGUUGCGUCACUUUAGAAUUAGAAUUUUCAAUAUUUUUUAUAAUACAGUAUUUAGAAUAUUAUUUUUUAUCUUUAGUUUUUUAAAUUAUAUCAAUUAAAAAUAUAAUUUUAAUUUAUUUUAAACAUUUGAUGUAUAAUCAUUUUAAAAUAAUAUUGAAAAAUUAACAUUUAUUUUCCUUCCGCGAUCUCACGGAGGGUCCACAUCCUAAUAUUAAUAAUAGAGAAAUAGCCUUAGAUAGCUCUAGAUCAAGUUUUUCUUUCCAAUCUAGACCUCGAAACUAAAUAUCACAAAAAUAUUUCAUUUAAAGAUGGACAAUGACCAUAUUACCCUUAUUCUCUAAUAAUUAUAAUCAAUUUAAAAAAAAUUAUCUGAUUUUCCAUCGUCGUCAUCUUCUCAGCCCUCUGUCGUCAUCAUCUUCUCAGCUCUGUCGUCGUCGUCAUUCUCUCAGCUCUACCAUUGUCGUCAUCCUCUUAGCUAUGUCGUCGCCGUCAUCCUCUCAGAUUCGCUGUCGUCAUCCUCUCAACUCCACUGUUCUUAUUCCGCGGUCAUCUCAUCCACCGUUGUCCUUCAUCUUAUGAUCUCAUAGUGCUAGGGUUAAUCUAACAUUUCCCGAUCUAGUCAAUUCUGGUGUUUCACCUGAUAUACCUCGAGGAAGCUACGUAGAUUCACCAGAGAUUGCUAAGAAAAUCAGAUUAUCCACUGUGCUUUCUCUAGAUCUGUGAAAUUCUCAGCCAUCAAUCAAACGUUUGAGUUUGAGGUGUCCACCUGGGAAUACGACGACGCUUGUGAUAAGUAUUAACUAGGGUUCUACAAGGGAGGAUGUGACUCUGGGUGUUGUGAAUUUCUUAAAAGAUGAAUUUUUCAGUGGAGUUUAUAUCCGGCCUUGAUUUGUUUCGCAAGUGGGAGCAAAUACACCUUUUGUGAUCUUUGAUCUAAAAGGAUGCUUGUUGGUCUGGAAGAAGAGUUAUCUAUACGCUUAGAAGGAGUGACAGGAGCCACAAUUCUAUGUGGCAUUUCUAUUAGAAAGGAUGCCACAGUUUCUUUCAUGUUGCUUUCUUAUCUCUUUUGAUUCUUCGACAAGAUGUUUUGUCUCCCUUUUUAUCUUAUAUGUGAGAAAUAUGGUUUCAUAUGGUGCUUGAGAGCCAUAAAACUAUAGGUAUAUCGUUUCAUGUCUCCUUUUGUUUUGUUUUGUAUGAUUUUACCAACCAACAUAGUAGUUAGACAUAUCGUGUAUGAAAAACAAAAGGUAAAUAGUUUCAUGUCUU